GGUGGUUUAGCGCCUGGUCUGCCCUCUUUCUGUGAGGGAGUACCGUAGGUUCGAGUCCUACAACCACCA